rnacentral:rRNA from 1 species
UACGUAGGGAGCAAGCGUUGUCCGGAAUCAUUGGGCGUAAAGCGCGCGUAGGUGGCUUCGUAAGUCCGUUGUGAAAGUCAAAGGCUCAACCUUUGAAAGCCGAUGGAUACUGCGGAGCUAGAGUACGGAAGAGGCGAGUGGAAUUCCUGGUGUAGCGGUGGAAUGCGUAGAUAUCAGGAGGAACACCGGUGGUGUAGACGGCUUACUGGACCAUAACUGACGCUGAGACACGAAAGCGUGGGUAGCAAACAGG